rnacentral:rRNA from 1 species
AUUGAACGCUGGCGGCAUGCCUAACACAUGCAAGUCGAACGGCAGCACAGCAUGUAGCAAUACAUGUGGGUGGCGAGUGGCGGACGGGUGAGUAACGCGUGGGAAUCUGCCCUAUAGUGGGGGACAACCCGACGAAAGUCGGGCUAAUACCGCAUACGCUCUACGGGGGAAAGGCUUCGGCCGCUAUUGGAUGAGCCCGCGUCGGAUUAGCUAGUUGGUGAGGUAAUGGCUCACCAAGGCGACGAUCCGUAGCUGGUCUGAGAGGACGAUCAGCCACACUGGGACUGAGACACGGCCCAGACUCCUACGGGAGGCAGCAGUGGGGAAUAUUGCACAAUGGGCGAAAGCCUGAUGCAGCAAUGCCGCGUGUGUGAAGAAGGCCUGCGGGUUGUAAAGCACUUUCGGUAGGGAAGAUUAUGACGGUACCUACAGAAGAAGC